rnacentral:rRNA from 1 species
GGGGAAUUUUGGACAAUGGGCGCAAGCCUGAUCCAGCCAUGCCGCGUGUCUGAAGAAGGCCUUCGGGUUGUAAAGGACUUUUGUCAGGGAAGAAAAGGGCGGGGUUAAUACCCCUGUCUGAUGACGGUACCUGAAGAAUAAGCACCGGCUAACUACGUGCCAGCAGCCGCGGUAAUACGUAGGGUGCGAGCGUUAAUCGGAAUUACUGGGCGUAAAGCGGGCGCAGACGGUUACUUAAGCAGGAUGUGAAAUCCCCGGGCUCAACCUGGGAACUGCGUUCUGAACUGGGUGACUAGAGUGUGUCAGAGGGAGGUAGAAUUCCACGUGUAGCAGUGAAAUGCGUAGAGAUGUGGAGGAAUACCGAUGGCGAAGGCAGCCUCCUGGGAUAACACUGACGUUCAUGCUCGAAAGCGUGGGUAGCAAACAGGAUUAGAUACCCUGGUAGUCCACGCCCUAAACGAUGUCAAUUAGCUGUUGGGCAACUUGAUUGCUUAGUAGCGUAGCUAACGCGUGAAAUUGACCGCCUGGGGAGUACGGUCGCAAGAUUA